rnacentral:rRNA from 1 species
UAGGGAAUCUUCCACAAUGGACGCAAGUCUGAUGGAGCAACGCCGCGUGAGUGAAGAAGGUUUUCGGACCGUAAAGCUCUGUUGUUGGUGAAGAAGGAUAGAGGUAGUAACUGGCCUUUAUUUGACGGUAAUCAACCAGAAAGUCACGGCUAACUACGUGCCAGCAGCCGCGGUAAUCGUAGGUGGCAAGCGUUGUCCGGAUUUAUUGGGCGUAAAGCGAGCGCAGGCGGAAGAAUAAGUCUGAUGUGAAAGCCCUCGGCUUAACCGAGGAAUUGCAUCGGAAACUGUUUUCUUGAGUGCAGAAGAGGAGAGUAGAACUCCAUGUGUAGCGGUGGAAUGCGUAGAUAUAUGGAAGAAUACCAGUGGCGAAGGCGGCUCUCUGGUCUGCAACUGACGCUGAGGCUCGAAAGCAUGGGUAGCGAACAGGAUUAGAUACCCUGGUAGUCCAUGCCGUAAACGAUGAGUGCUAAGUGU